UACGAAGGGGGCUAGCGUUGCUCGGAAUCACUGGGCGUAAAGCGCACGUAGGCGGACUCUUAAGUCGGGGGGUGAAAUCCUGGAGCUCAACUCCAGAACUGCCUUCGAUACUGAGAGUCUUCGAGUUCGGGAGAGGUGAGUGGAACUGCGAGUGUAGAGGUGAAAUUCGUAGAUAUUCGCAAGAACACCAGUGGCGAAGGCGGCUCACUGGCCCGAUACUGACGCUGAGGUGCGAAAGCGUGGGGAGCAAACAGGG
rnacentral:rRNA from 1 species